rnacentral:rRNA from 1 species
UGGGGAAUAUUGCACAAUGGGGGAAACCCUGAUGCAGCAACGCCGCGUGAGUGAAGAAGUAUUUCGGUAUGUAAAGCUCUAUCAGCAGGGAAGAAAAUGACGGUACCUGACUAAGAAGCCCCGGCUAACUACGUGCCAGCAGCCGCGGUAAUACGUAGGGGGCAAGCGUUAUCCGGAUUUACUGGGUGUAAAGGGAGCGUAGACGGCAGCGCAAGUCUGAAGUGAAAGCCCGGGGCUCAACCCCGGAAUGGCUUUGGAAACUGUGCAGCUAGAGUACCGGAGGGGUAAGCGGAAUUCCUAGUGUAGCGGUGAAAUGCGUAGAUAUUAGGAGGAACACCAGUGGCGAAGGCGGCUUACUGGACGGUAACUGACGUUGAGGCUCGAAAGCGUGGGGAGCAAACAGG